rnacentral:lncRNA from 1 species
CACCUCACCAGUCAGUUUGCAUGUGCUAGUUGUGCACCCUGUUCUGCCAGUCAAUACACAACGAGGUUUUUCUGCCUUUCUUUCAGAAUCUUUGCAUUCCGCAAUUAGUUUUCACAGAUCUUGGAAUGUUCUUAUCUAAACUUUGGCUUUCUCUGUUAAACCUGGUAAAAAGUUCAAAAAUUAUUAGAUGUGGAAGAGAGUGAGCAUUUGUCAUAGAAAAGAAGACAAGUUCAAAAUUAAAACAGACCAGAUACUACACAUUUUAGGAAUUGUGUUUAGAAACAAAAUGAGGACUUGGAAGUAA